GAUGAACGCUAGCUACAGGCUUAACACAUGCAAGUCGAGGGGAAACGAUAGAGAAAGCUUGCUUUUUCUAGGCGUCGACCGGCGCACGGGUGAGUAACGCGUAUCCAACCUGCCCACCACUUGGGGAUAACCUUGCGAAAGUAAGACUAAUACCCAAUGACAUCUCUAGAAGACAUCUGAAGGAGAUUAAAGAUUUAUCGGUGAUGGAUGGGGAUGCGUCUGAUUAGCUUGUUGGCGGGGUAACGGCCCACCAAGGCGACGAUCAGUAGGGGUUCUGAGAGGAAGAUCCCCCACAUUGGAACUGAGACACGGUCCAAACUCCUACGGGAGGCAGCAGUGAGGAAUAUUGGUCAAUGGGCGAGAGCCUGAACCAGCCAAGUAGCGUGCAGGAUGACGGCCCUAUGGGUUGUAAACUGCUUUUAUAAGGGAAUAAAGUGAGCCUCGUGAGGCUUUUUGCAUGUACCUUAUGAAUAAGGACCGGCUAAUUCCGUGCCAGCCGCCGCCGUAA
rnacentral:rRNA from 1 species